rnacentral:misc_RNA from 1 species
AACGCAUAUUGCACCUAUUGGUUUUCCAAUAGGUAUGCUUGUUCGAGUCUCAGUUUUCAUCUCACAUAACCAAUGGUUUUUAAAAGCUGUAAUGGCGCCAAGUGGUUAAGUGGUAAUGGGUGUUCCUAUUUCCAAACGAAUGGGUCACUUGAAAUUCCUGGUAGCCAACGAGUGGAGAUUGCUUUGCAUAUUUCAUUAACGCUCUGAGUACCGCUAAGUUUAAGCCUUUAUUGGUCACUCUUUAGCUGGGAAAGUUUUCGAAAUGAAGCUUAUGUCAACACUUUUACCAAAACUCAUUGAUUCUUAGUUGCCGCAGUUGCACUAAGUCAAUAUCUUUGAACCUUGAGCUCGAAUUAAGCAAGACUACCCGCUGAACUUAA